rnacentral:rRNA from 1 species
GCUUCUUUUCCCACCGGAGCUUGCUCCACCGGGAAAAGAGGAGUGGCGAACGGGUGAGUAACACGUGGGUAACCUGCCCAUCAGAAGGGGAUAACACUUGGAAACAGGUGCUAAUACCGUAUAACAAUCGAAACCGCAUGGUUUCGUUUUGAAAGGCGCUUUACGGUGCCGCUGAUGGAUGGACCCGCGGUGCAUUAGCUAGUUGGUGAGGUAACGGCUCACCAAGGCCACGAUGCAUAGCCGACCUGAGAGGGUGAUCGGCCACAUUGGGACUGAGACACGGCCCAAACUCCUACGGGAGGCAGCAGUAGGGAAUCUUCGGCAAUGGACGAAAGUCUGACCGAGCAACGCCGCGUGAGUGAAGAAGGUUUUCGGAUCGUAAAACUCUGUUGUUAGAGAAGAACAAGGGUGAGAGUAACUGUUCACCCCUUGACGGUAUCUAACCAGAAAGCCACGGCUAACUACGUGCCAGCAGCCGCGGUAAUACGUAGGUGGCAAGCGUUGUCCGGAUUUAUUGGGCGUAAAGCGAGCGCAGGCGGUUUCUUAAGUCUGAUGUGAAAGCCCCCGGCUCAACCGGGGAGGGUCAUUGGAAACUGGGAGACUUGAGUGCAGAAGAGGAGAGUGGAAUUCCAUGUGUAGCGGUGAAAUGCGUAGAUAUAUGGAGGAACACCAGUGGCGAAGGCGGCUCUCUGGUCUGUAACUGACGCUGAGGCUCGAAAGCGUGGGGAGCAAACAGGAUUAGAUACCCUGGUAGUCCACGCCGUAAACGAUGAGUGCUAAGUGUUGGAGGGUUUCCGCCCUUCAGUGCUGCAGCUAACGCAUUAAGCACUCCGCCUGGGGAGUACGACCGCAAGGUUGAAACUCAAAGGAAUUGACGGGGGCCCGCACAAGCGGUGGAGCAUGUGGUUUAAUUCGAAGCAACGCGAAGAACCUUACCAGGUCUUGACAUCCUUUGACCACUCUAGAGAUAGAGCUUCCCCUUCGGGGGCAAAGUGACAGGUGGUGCAUGGUUGUCGUCAGCUCGUGUCGUGAGAUGUUGGGUUAAGUCCCGCAACGAGCGCAACCCUUAUUGUUAGUUGCCAUCAUUUAGUUGGGCACUCUAGCAAGACUGCCGGUGACAAACCGGAGGAAGGUGGGGAUGACGUCAAAUCAUCAUGCCCCUUAUGACCUGGGCUACACACGUGCUACAAUGGGAAGUACAACGAGUCGCGAAGUCGCGAGGCUAAGCUAAUCUCUUAAAGCUUCUCUCAGUUCGGAUUGUAGGCUGCAACUCGCCUACAUGAAGCCGGAAUCGCUAGUAAUCGCGGAUCAGCACGCCGCGGUGAAUACGUUCCCGGGCCUUGUACACACCGCCCGUCACACCACGAGAGUUUGUAACACCCGAAGUCGGUGAGGUAACCUUUUUGGAGCCAGCCGCCUAAGGUGGGAUAGAUG